rnacentral:lncRNA from 1 species
GAAGAUUCUGUUCAAGAGAAGGUGGAAGUAAUCAGCUUGGGGAAGGCAAGGCUCUUUCUUCCCCUGUUGCAUCUUCAGAGGCCCCAGUAUCUUCAUCAUUCAGAGCAGAUUCAUGUGAGUUUUUGCAAUCAGGAGAAAAAAAAAAAGCAUUCAAGAAAAGGAACACUGCACCUUACGUACAGAGUCUACUUAUCAACAGUUAAAUCACCUUGCAGAGUGAGGCUCCUGGUUUAUGUGCUGUGCAACGUGGGGGCGGGACCCACGAGUUUAAAAGCAGAGGCAAGGAUGCAAAACAUUUCUAUUGCAAUGAAAGAUGGAGUUGAUGAGUACCUUGCAAGACUGGGCCACCACUACUUCAAGGAUGAUCCCACAUUCUGGGGACCUCAGGAAAUGCACCAAUGCAGUCUACUCAGUGACUUGCUAAAUAAAUAAGUGCUAAAUCACAUCAACCUCUGCAAGAAGUCAGGAAAAAAUGGAAAAUGUGUCGCUGCUGUCAUCCCAAGUUUUGUUUGCAUUUAUUUACAUUAAAGCUCUUGUUUCUGUAGGACUUUUGAGGCUGAUUUUGUUCUUGUCUCUUCUGGGUUUCAAGAAUAUAUUGUAAGCACUACGUCAAGUCUCAGUGUUGCUUGUAUUACAUCUACAUACUGCAAAAUCAUGUGGUCUGAAUUAUGCUCCUAGGAAAGCAUAUUAGCA